GGAAUAAUAUAAGUGAAAAUAAUGAUAUCAACUUAAGAGCAUAAAAGCUAGAAUCAUAUAUGGGAUAAUGUAAAUAAUACUUGGUUUAGGGCCGAUAUCCUCACAAAUUGAGUGGAAUACUAAUAGGUGAAAGCUUUUUAUCUACAAAUGAUUGACGCUGAGAAACGAAGGUGGGAAAAGAAAAUAGGAUUCGAUACCCAGAUAUCUCCCACUGUCAACGAUGAAUGGUGGCUGUUAAUCUUUGGUGGCGAUGUUAACGCGAUAACCAUUCCGCCUUGCGAGUACGGUUGCAAAACUGAAAUCAAAAAAAUUAGUCGG
rnacentral:rRNA from 1 species